AGCGAACGCUGGCGGCAGGCCUAACACAUGCAAGUCGAACGGACCCUUCGGGGUUAGUGGCGGACGGGUGAGUAACACGUGGGAACGUGCCUUUAGGUUCGGAAUAGCUCCUGGAAACGGGUGGUAAUGCCGAAUGUGCCCUUCGGGGGAAAGAUUUAUCGCCUUUAGAGCGGCCGGCGUCUGAUUAGCUAGUUGGUGAGGUAAAGGCUCACCAAGGCGUCGCUCAGUAGCUGGUCUGAGAGGAUGACCAGAGACAUGUUGGCUGAGACACGGCCCAGACUCCUACGGGAGGCGGCAGUGGGGAAUCUUGCGCAAUGGGCGAAAUCCUGACGCAGCCAUGCCUGGUGAAUGAUGAAGGUCGUAGAGUUGUAAAGUUCUUUCGUCGGGGACGAUAAUGACGGUACCCGAAGAAGAAGCCCCGGCUAACUUCGUGCCAGCCGCCGCGGUAA
rnacentral:rRNA from 1 species